UCCCGAUGAAGCAUAGCAAUAGAAUUCUGUACAUGGAUUGUUAGAUUUUAUGUCUUAAAACACUUUAAUGUGGUCUUCUAAUCAUCAAAGGAGAUCUAGGUCUUUGUAUUCAUUAAGAACUUGAUUUGGUGUUUUGGUUCUAAGGGAAGUUGUGUUUUACAGAAAUCCUUGUUCCAACAGAUUCUUUAUGUGUAAUCGAUUAGAGCACCUUAUAUCACUGCAAUUUGGAUAGCUCUUGUAUUCCUUGAUGGGCUAGGAAUAUUGAGCCAGUGCAUAUAAAUAUCAAGUCCCUGCUCAGACGAUCAGACCAGCAAAAAGACAUUCAAAACCCCAUCUAGAAUAAUAGCUUAAAGGAUCAUUAUGAGUAGAAGAACUUGGUUACGAUCAAUGUUAGUGUGUUAAUAUAUGCAGCCGAUAUAGUUUGUUGUGGUAUCCAGGGACGGAUCCAGGAUUUCAGAAUGGCGUGGGCUAAAUUUAGUUUACAUACAAACCUAUUGAAAACUCAACGGUACGAGUAAAUUUCAUUGAUAACAAAAACCUAUUAAAAUCACUAAUUAUUGAUUUUUUUAUUUUUUUAUAUUUUUUUAUUUUUGGGGUAAAGGAGAGACGGAAUGUCUAUGCCUUGUGGGAGUCUAAUUUUUUCAGGUGGGGUGUGGGGUUUAGUUCUUUUGUUGGUUAGCCUAAUUCUAGUGGGAUUAAUUAAUAAUAUUUUAUUUGAAUAGCCUAGUCCUAAUGGGAAUAGUUAAUAAUACUUAUUUUGAUGAAAGUAUGUUUGAAAUUGAAAGUAAUUAUGAUAAAAUUGGUUGCCAUUUGCAGCCACUGAUUGACGGCAAAGAACCAAUAUUUUUUUUUCUUUUU
rnacentral:lncRNA from 1 species